rnacentral:rRNA from 1 species
GACGAACGCUGGCGGCGUGCUUAACACAUGCAAGUCGAACGGUGAAGCGCCUUCCUUUUUGGUGGGUGUGGAUGAGUGGCGAACGGGUGAGUAACACGUGAGUAACCUGCCCCCUUCUUCUGGAUAACCGCAUGAAAGUGUGGCUAAUACGGGAUAUUCUGGGUCUGUCGCAUGAUGGGUCUGGGAAAGAUAUUGUUUCGGUGGGGGAUGGGCUCGCGGCCUAUCAGCUUGUUGGUGGGGUGAUGGCCUACCAAGGCGGUGACGGGUAGCCGGCCUGAGAGGGUGGACGGUCACACUGGGACUGAGACACGGCCCAGACUCCUACGGGAGGCAGCAGUGGGGAAUAUUGCACAAUGGGCGGAAGCCUGAUGCAGCGACGCCGCGGGGGGGAUGGAGGCCUUCGGGUUGUGAACCUCUUUCGCCAGUGAAGCAGGCCUGCCUCGUUUGUGGGUGGGUUGACGGUAGCUGGAUAAGAAGCGCCGGCUAACUACGUG